CCUUCAGCAGUAUAUAAGCCGCCCAGGAACAAGUCACUACACGGCUUCAGUCUUCACUUCUUGAGCUUCUUAGACUUCACACAUACCGUCUCAGCAUGUCACCCAAGAAGGCCAAGAGGAGGGCAGGAGGAGGAGAGGGUUCCUCCAAUGUCUUCUCCAUGUUUGAGCAGAGCCAGAUUCAGGAG